UCCUUGGUGGUCCAGUGGUUAAGACUCUUGAGCUCCUGAUGCAGGGGCCCCAGGUUCAAUCCCUGGUCAGGGAA